rnacentral:rRNA from 1 species
GAUGAACGCUGGCGGCGUGCUUAACACAUGCAAGUCGAACGAUGAUGCCCAGCUUGCUGGGUGGAUUAGUGGCGAACGGGUGAGUAACACGUGAGUAACCUGCCCUUGACUCUGGGAUAAGCCUGGUAAACUGGGUCUAAUACCGGAUACGACCAUCUGGCGCAUGUCAUGGUGGUGGAAAGCUUUUGUGGUUUUGGAUGGACUCGCGGCCUAUCAGCUUGUUGGUGGGGUAAUGGCCUACCAAGGCGACGACGGGUAGCCGGCCUGAGAGGGUGACCGGCCACACUGGGACUGAGACACGGCCCAGACUCCUACGGGAGGCAGCAGUGGGGAAUAUUGCACAAUGGGCGCAAGCCUGAUGCAGCGACGCCGCGUGAGGGAUGACGGCCUUCGGGUUGUAAACCUCUUUCAGUAGGGAAGAAGCGAAAGUGACGGUACCUGCAGAAGAAGCGCCGGCUAACUACGUG